UAGGGAAUAUUGGACAAUGGGGGCAACCCUGAUCCAGCCAUGCCGCGUGAGUGAAGGAGGCCCUCGGGUUGUAAAGCUCUUUUGUCCGGAAAGAAAAGCAUUCGGUGAAUACCCGGAUGUUCUGACGGUACCGGAAGAAUAAGCACCGGCUAACUUCGUGCCAGCAGCCGCGGUAAUACGAAGGGUGCAAGCGUUACUCGGAAUUACUGGGCGUAAAGCGUGCGUAGGUGGUUGUUUAAGUCUGAUGUGAAAGCCCUGGGCUCAACCUGGGAAUGGCAUUGGAAACUGGGCAGCUAGAGUGCGGUAGAGGGUAGUGGAAUUCCCGGUGUAGCAGUGAAAUGCGUAGAGAUCGGGAGGAACAUCUGUGGCGAAGGCGACUGCCUGGACCAGCACUGACACUGAGGCACGAAAGCGUGGGGAGCAAACA
rnacentral:rRNA from 1 species